UACGGAGGGUGCAAGCGUUAUCCGGAUUCACUGGGUUUAAAGGGUGCGUAGGCGGGUGUGAAAGUCAGUGGUGAAAUCUCAGAGCUUAAACUCUGAAACUGCCAUUGAUACUUUGCAUCUUGAAUUUUCUGGAGGUUAGCGGAAUAUGUCAUGUAGCGGUGAAAUGCUUAGAUAUGACAUAGAACACCGAUUGCGAAGGCAGCUGACUACGGAUGAAUUGACGCUGAGGCACGAAAGCGUGGGGAUCAAACAGG
rnacentral:rRNA from 1 species